GGGAGACACACGGCGGGUGCUAACGUCCGUCGUGAAGAGGGAAACAACCCAGACCGCCAGCUAAGGUCCCAAAGUCAUGGUUAAGUGGGAAACGAUGUGGGAAGGCCCAGACAGCCAGGAUGUUGGCUUAGAAGCAGCCAUCAUUUAAAGAAAGCGUAAUAGCUCACUGGUCGAGUCGGCCUGCGCGGAAGAUGUAACGGGGCUAAACCAUGCACCGAAGCUGCGGCAGCGACGCUGAUGCGUUGUUGGGUAGGGGAGCGUUCUGUAAGCCUGUGAAGGUGUGCUGUGAGGCAUGCUGGAGGUAUCAGAAGUGCGAAUGCUGACAUAAGUAACGAUAAAGCGGGUGAAAAGCCCGCUCGCCGGAAGACCAAGGGUUCCUGUCCAACGUUAAUCGGGGCAGGGUGAGUCGACCCCUAAGGCGAGGCCGAAAGGCGUAGUCGAUGGGAAACAGGUUAAUAUUCCUGUACUUGGUGUUACUGCGAAGGGGGGACGGAGAAGGCUAUGUUGGCCGGGCGACGGUUGUCCCGGUUUAAGCGUGUAGGCUGGUUUUCCAGGCAAAUCCGGAAAACUAAGGCUGAGGCGUGAUGACGAGGCACUACGGUGCUGAAGCAACAAAUGCCCUGCUUCCAGGAAAAGCCUCUAAGCAUCAGGUAACAUCAAAUCGUACCCCAAACCGACACAGGUGGUCAGGUAGAGAAUACCAAGGCGCUUGAGAGAACUCGGGUGAAGGAACUAGGCAAAAUGGUGCCGUAACUUCGGGAGAAGGCACGCUGAUAUGUAGGUGAAGUCCCUCGCGGAUGGAGCUGAAAUCAGUCGAAGAUACCAGCUGGCUGCAACUGUUUAUUAAAAACACAGCACUGUGCAAACACGAAAGUGGACGUAUACGGUGUGACGCCUGCCCGGUGCCGGAAGGUUAAUUGAUGGGGUCAGCGCAAGCGAAGCUCUUGAUCGAAGCCCCGGUAAACGGCGGCCGUAACUAUAACGGUCCUAAGGUAGCGAAAUUCCUUGUCGGGUAAGUUCCGACCUGCACGAAUGGCGUAAUGAUGGCCAGGCUGUCUCCACCCGAGACUCAGUGAAAUUGAACUCGCUGUGAAGAUGCAGUGUACCCGCGGCAAGACGGAAAGACCCCGUGAACCUUUACUAUAGCUUGACACUGAACAUUGAGCCUUGAUGUGUAGGAUAGGUGGGAGGCUUUGAAGUGUGGACGCCAGUCUGCAUGGAGCCGACCUUGAAAUACCACCCUUUAAUGUUUGAUGUUCUAACGUUGACCCGUAAUCCGGGUUGCGGACAGUGUCUGGUGGGUAGUUUGACUGGGGCGGUCUCCUCCUAAAGAGUAACGGAGGAGCACGAAGGUUGGCUAAUCCUGGUCGGACAUCAGGAGGUUAGUGCAAUGGCAUAAGCCAGCUUGACUGCGAGCGUGACGGCGCGAGCAGGUGCGAAAGCAGGUCAUAGUGAUCCGGUGGUUCUGAAUGGAAGGGCCAUCGCUCAACGGAUAAAAGGUACUCCGGGGAUAACAGGCUGAUACCGCCCAAGAGUUCAUAUCGACGGCGGUGUUUGGCACCUCGAUGUCGGCUCAUCACAUCCUGGGGCUGAAGUAGGUCCCAAGGGUAUGGCUGUUCGCCAUUUAAAGUGGUACGCGAGCUGGGUUUAGAACGUCGUGAGACAGUUCGGUCCCUAUCUGCCGUGGGCGCUGGAGAACUGAGGGGGGCUGCUCCUAGUACGAGAGGACCGGAGUGGACGCAUCACUGGUGUUCGGGUUGUCAUGCCAAUGGCACUGCCCGGUAGCUAAAUGCGGAAGAGAUAAGUGCUGAAAGCAUCUAAGCACGAAACUUGCCCCGAGAUGAGUUCUCCCUGACUCCUUGAGAGUCCUGAAGGAACGUUGAAG
rnacentral:rRNA from 1 species